rnacentral:snRNA from 1 species
UUACUCAGGUUUCUCUUCAUAACGUACAAGUCUUUCGCCUUUUACUAAAGAUUUCCGUGGAGAGGAACACCAAAGAGUUGAACCUAUUUUUGGUAGGCUUUGCAGUUUGGCAGAGC